ACGAUAUGCUUUGGGGAGCUGUAAGUAAGCUUUGAUCCAGAGAUUUCCGAAUGGGGAAACCCAGCAUGAGUUAUGUCAUGUUAUCGAUAUGUGAAUACAUAGCAUAUCAGAAGGCACACCCGGAGAACUGAAACAUCUUAGUACCCGGAGGAAGAGAAAGAAAAUUCGAUUCCCUUAGUAGCGGCGAGCGAAACGGGAAGAGCCCAAACCAACAAGCUUGCUUGUUGGGGUUGUAGGACACUCUAUACGGAGUUACAAAGGACGACAUUAGACGAAUCAUCUGGAAAGAUGAAUCAAAGAAGGUAAUAAUCCUGUAGUCGAAAAUGUUGUCUCUCUUGAGUGGAUCCUGAGUACGACGGAGCACGUGAAAUUCCGUCGGAAUCUGGGAGGACCAUCUCCUAAGGCUAAAUACUCUCUAGUGACCGAUAGUGAACCAGUACCGUGAGGGAAAGGUGAAAAGCACCCCGGAAGGGGAGUGAAAUAGAACCUGAAACCGUGUGCUUACAAGUAGUCAGAGCCCGUUAAUGGGUGAUGGCGUGCCUUUUGUAGAAUGAACCGGCGAGUUACGAUUUGAUGCAAGGUUAAGCAGUAAAUGUGGAGCCGUAGCGAAAGCGAGUCUGAAUAGGGCGUUUAGUAUUUGGUCGUAGACCCGAAACCAGGUGAUCUACCCUUGGUCAGGUUGAAGUUCAGGUAACACUGAAUGGAGGACCGAACCGACUUACGUUGAAAAGUGAGCGGAUGAACUGAGGGUAGCGGAGAAAUUCCAAUCGAACCUGGAGAUAGCUGGUUCUCUCCGAAAUAGCUUUAGGGCUAGCCUCAAGUGAUGAUUAUUGGAGGUAGAGCACUGUUUGGACGAGGGGCCCCUCUCGGGUUACCGAAUUCAGACAAACUCCGAAUGCCAAUUAAUUUAACUUGGGAGUCAGAACAUGGGUGAUAAGGUCCGUGUUCGAAAGGGAAACAGCCCAGACCACCAGCUAAGGUCCCAAAAUAUAUGUUAAGUGGAAAAGGAUGUGGCGUUGCCCAGACAACUAGGAUGUUGGCUUAGAAGCAGCCAUCAUUUAAAGAGUGCGUAAUAGCUCACUAGUCGAGUGACACUGCGCCGAAAAUGUACCGGGGCUAAACAUAUUACCGAAGCUGUGGAUUGUCCUUUGGACAAUGGUAGGAGAGCGUUCUAAGGGCGUUGAAGCAUGAUCGUAAGGACAUGUGGAGCGCUUAGAAGUGAGAAUGCCGGUGUGAGUAGCGAAAGACGGGUGAGAAUCCCGUCCACCGAUUGACUAAGGUUUCCAGAGGAAGGCUCGUCCGCUCUGGGUUAGUCGGGUCCUAAGCUGAGGCCGACAGGCGUAGGCGAUGGAUAACAGGUUGAUAUUCCUGUACCACCUAUAAUCGUUUUAAUCGAUGGGGGGACGCAGUAGGAUAGGCGAAGCGUGCGAUUGGAUUGCACGUCUAAGCAGUAAGGCUGAGUAUUAGGCAAAUCCGGUACUCGUUAAGGCUGAGCUGUGAUGGGGAGAAGACAUUGUGUCUUCGAGUCGUUGAUUUCACACUGCCGAGAAAAGCCUCUAGAUAGAAAAUAGGUGCCCGUACCGCAAACCGACACAGGUAGUCAAGAUGAGAAUUCUAAGGUGAGCGAGCGAACUCUCGUUAAGGAACUCGGCAAAAUGACCCCGUAACUUCGGGAGAAGGGGUGCUCUUUAGGGUUAACGCCCAGAAGAGCCGCAGUGAAUAGGCCCAAGCGACUGUUUAUCAAAAACACAGGUCUCUGCUAAACCGUAAGGUGAUGUAUAGGGGCUGACGCCUGCCCGGUGCUGGAAGGUUAAGAGGAGUGGUUAGCUUCUGCGAAGCUACGAAUCGAAGCCCCAGUAAACGGCGGCCGUAACUAUAACGGUCCUAAGGUAGCGAAAUUCCUUGUCGGGUAAGUUCCGACCCGCACGAAAGGCGUAACGAUUUGGGCACUGUCUCAACGAGAGACUCGGUGAAAUCAUAGUACCUGUGAAGAUGCAGGUUACCCGCGACAGGACGGAAAGACCCCGUGGAGCUUUACUGUAGCCUGAUAUUGAAAUUCGGCACAGCUUGUACAGGAUAGGUAGGAGCCUUUGAAACGUGAGCGCUAGCUUACGUGGAGGCGCUGGUGGGAUACUACCCUAGCUGUGUUGGCUUUCUAACCCGCACCACUUAUCGUGGUGGGAGACAGUGUCAGGCGGGCAGUUUGACUGGGGCGGUCGCCUCCUAAAAGGUAACGGAGGCGCUCAAAGGUUCCCUCAGAAUGGUUGGAAAUCAUUCAUAGAGUGUAAAGGCAUAAGGGAGCUUGACUGCGAGACCUACAAGUCGAGCAGGGUCGAAAGACGGACUUAGUGAUCCGGUGGUUCCGCAUGGAAGGGCCAUCGCUCAACGGAUAAAAGCUACCCCGGGGAUAACAGGCUUAUCUCCCCCAAGAGUUCACAUCGACGGGGAGGUUUGGCACCUCGAUGUCGGCUCAUCGCAUCCUGGGGCUGUAGUCGGUCCCAAGGGUUGGGCUGUUCGCCCAUUAAAGCGGUACGCGAGCUGGGUUCAGAACGUCGUGAGACAGUUCGGUCCCUAUCCGUCGUGGGCGUAGGAAAUUUGAGAGGAGCUGUCCUUAGUACGAGAGGACCGGGAUGGACAUACCUCUGGUGUACCAGUUGUCGUGCCAACGGCAUAGCUGGGUAGCUAUGUGUGGACGGGAUAAGUGCUGAAAGCAUCUAAGCAUGAAGCCCCCCUCAAGAUGAGAUUUCCCAACUUCGGUUAUAAGAUCCCUCAAAGAUGAUGAGGUUAAUAGGUUCGAGGUGGAAGCAUGGUGACAUGUGGAGCUGACGAAUACUAAUCGAUCGAAGACUUAAUCAAAUU
rnacentral:rRNA from 1 species